rnacentral:rRNA from 1 species
GUGGAGCAUGUGGUUUAAUUCGAAGCANNNCGAAGAACCUUACCAGGUCUUGACAUCCUCUGACAACUCUAGAGAUAGAGCGUUCCCCUUCGGGGGACAGAGUGACAGGUGGUGCAUGGUUGUCGUCAGCUCGUGUCGUGAGAUGUUGGGUUAAGUCCCGCAACGAGCGCAACCCUUGAUCUUAGUUGCCAGCAUUUAGUUGGGCACUCUAAGGUGACUGCCGGUGACAAACCGGAGGAAGGUGGGGAUGACGUCAAAUCAUCAUGCCCCUUAUGACCUGGGCUACACACGUGCUACAAUGGAUGGUACAAAGGGCUGCAAGACCGCGAGGUCAAGCCAAUCCCAUAAAACCAUUCUCAGUUCGGAUUGUAGGCUGCAACUCGCCUACAUGAAGCUGGAAUCGCUAGUAAUCGCGGAUCAGCAUGCCGCGGUGAAUACGUUCCCGGGCCUUGUACACACCGCCCGUCACACCACGAGAGUUUGUAAC